CUCGGAGAUGUUUAUAACAGACAGGAUUCAGAAUGAAAGGUCACGUUGAGUGCCCAAACAAUGAAUGAAAAUAGAGCCAGUCCCAUAGAGACACUGAACAAAGAAGAGUCUAGGAGUUUCCAGAGAGACGGAAAACAAAAAGGUUUUGCCCAAAGGAUCAUGAAUCAUAAAUCAGGUUGGCUCCAGACUUCUUAACAGCUAGAAUUCAGUGGAGCCGUGUCUUGGGUUCUGAAAGAUAAUGAAUUCUAAUUCGAAAUGCUGUAUCCAAACAAGCGGCAGAUUAAAGUCUAAACAAUUUUAUUUCACGCACCCUUUCUCCUGAAGAUGCAGGGAGGGUUGCAUUAGGAAAGCAAGGACAAAGAAGUGUGGGGCCCCAGGAACCAAGGAGGUGAGGAGAAUUGCCACCGUGGCAUGAAAGGGGGUCCUGGGGCACAGCCACGCAUUGGGCCCGGGAGCAGCAGUCCCCUGUAGGCAUUUCAGAGAAUUUCCAGCGAGAUCUUUCCAAGGAAAGGAAAUGAAACCCGUAGACAAUUGAGAAGGAGGUAGGAGGAAGGUUUUAGUACUGGGUCUACAGAAAACUAAGCACAAUUUAAAAAACAAGGUAAUUAGGGGCGCCUGGGUGGCGCAGUCGGUUAAGCGUCUGACUUCAGCCAGGGCACCA